rnacentral:rRNA from 1 species
CGCCAGACUCCUACGGGAGGCAGCAGUGGGGGAUAUUGCACAAUGGGGGAAACCCUGAUGCAGCGACGCCGCGUGGGCGAAGAAGUAUUUCGGUAUGUAAAGCCCUAUCAGCAGGGAAGAAGAAAUGACGGUACCUGGGUAAGAAGCACCGGCUAAAUACGUGCCAGCAGUCGCGGUAAUACGUAUGGUGCAAGCGUUAUCCGGAUUUACUGGGUGUAAAGGGAGCGUAGACGGCGACGCAAGUCUGGAGUGAAAGCCUGGGGCCCAACCCCGGGACUGCUCUGGAAACUGCGUCGCUGGAGUACGGGAGGGGCAGGCGGAAUUCCUGGUGUAGCGGUGAAAUGCGUAGAUAUCAGGAGGAACACCGGCGGCGAAGGCGGCCUGCUGGACCGUGACUGACGUUGAGGCUCGAGAGCGUGGGGAGCAAACAGGAUUAGAUACCCGCGUA